AAAUUGAAGAGUUUGAUCAUGGCUCAGAUUGAACGCUGGCGGCAGGCCUAACACAUGCAAGUCGAACGGUAACAGGAAGCAGCUUGCUGCUUCGCUGACGAGUGGCGGACGGGUGAGUAAUGUCUGGGAAACUGCCUGAUGGAGGGGGAUAACUACUGGAAACGGUGGCUAAUAUCGCAUAACGUCGCAAGACCAAAGAGGGGGACCUU
rnacentral:rRNA from 1 species